UGCAAAGUGGCUUAGUUGACAAAGCGCUCGUCUAGCAUACAAGAGUCGCGGGUUCAAAUCCCACAUGGGCAC
rnacentral:tRNA from 1 species